GUUUCAGGGCGGAGUGAAAGUCUCCACUGGCGGUAAUCGCUGGAUGAUCAGCGGAGUCCGCGAGCGCUGUUUGCGCAUGAUCCGGUGAGAUCCCGGAACCAACGGUAUAGUCCGGAUAAAAGAAA
rnacentral:ncRNA from 1 species